rnacentral:tRNA from 1 species
UGGGGUGUAGCCAAGCGGUACGGCACGGGACUUUGACUCCCGCACUCGAAGGUUCGAAUCCUUCCACCCCAGCCA